rnacentral:rRNA from 1 species
AUUGAACGCUGGCGGCAGGCCUAACACAUGCAAGUCGAACGAGUGGCGGACGGGUGGGUAAGUUCUGGGAAACUGCCUGAUGUAGGGGGAUAACUGCUGGAAACGUUAGCUAAUACUGCAUACCAUCAGAUGUGCCCACAUGGGAUUAGCUUGUGGGUGGGGUAACGGUUCACAAAGGCGACGAUCCCUAGCUGGUCUGAGAGGAUGACCAGCCACACUGGAACUGAGACACGGCCCAGACUCCUACGGGAGGCAGCAGUGGGGAAUCUUGCACAAUGGGCGCAAGCCUGAUGCAGCAAUGCCGCGUGUAUGAAGAAGGCCUUCGGGUUGUAAAGUACUUUCAGCGGGGAGGCGUUACCCGCAGAGGAAGCACCGGCUAACUACGUGCCAGCAGCCGCGGUAAUUC